rnacentral:rRNA from 1 species
GGAGUCUGGGCCGUGUCUCAGUCCCAAUGUGGCUGAUCAUCCUCUCAGACCAGCUAGAGAUCGUCGCCUUGGUGAGCCUUUGCCUCCCCAACAAGCUAAUCCCUCCUGGGCACAUCUACAAGCGCAUGGUUUCCCAUCCUUUUCCCCUCAGGGCUUAUGCGGUAUUAGCACCCGUUUCCAGGUGUUGUCCCCCUCUUGUAGGCAGUUUCCCAGGUAUUACUCACCCGUCCGCCACUCGUCAGCCAGAAAGACAAGCCUUCCUGCUGCUACCGUUCGACUUGCAUGUAUUAAGCCUGCCGCCAGCGUUCAAU